GUUAUUUAUAUCUUAUAGCAAAGGAAUUUAGAAAGGCGGUCGUCGUCUUAUUUAAUUAAAACAAUUUAUUUUUAAAAUAAAGGAUUAAACAUUUCAAUUUCGCUACAUUUUUACGUUGUUUAAGUCCAUGUAUAAUAGUUUAUUUUAAAUAAUAAUAAUUAAAACAAUAACACUCAGGUAUUGUUUACUUCGUUACGCGAAUCAAAAAUUUACCAAGAUUUGCUCCUGGAUCUUCCUUUGCAGGUUUCUAUUGAAUGCAUAUUUCAUGUGGUUACACCUAUGUCUAAGGAACAAAAAUGAUAGAAACUACAGGGAAAAUUAUUUGAAGUUAAUUGUUCGGAGAUAUUUAAUGUAUACGUAUUAAGAGGAAACAAAUAUUCGGGGAAAAAGAAUUGCUAUAAAAAUAUCUUCUCCAAUCCGUUGGAUAGAUUUUAUAACAUAAAAUAUCCAGAAUUAAAAUUCCGAAAGGAAAAAUUGUCAUUCGGCCAAGUUUAGAACUACCAGCCAAAAAGUAUGUGCGUCAUCUGUACAGCUAGAUGAAUAUUUAUUGUGGGUACUGUACAUGAAAUUUUUUAAAAAAUCCGAUUUUUUUA